UGAGUAACGCGUGGGUAACCUGCCUUAGUACAGGGGGAUAACAGUUAGAAAUGACUGCUAAGUACCGCAUAAGCGCACAGGAUUGCAUGAUCUGGUGUGAAAAACUCCGGUGGUAUAAGAUGGACCCGCGUCUGAUUAGCUGGUUGGGUGAGGUAACGGGCCCACCAAGGCGACGAUCAGUAGCCGACCUGAGAGGGUGACCGGCCACAUUGGGACUGAGACACGGCCCAAACUCCUACGGGAGGCAGCAGUGGGGAAUAUUGCACAAUGGGGGAAACCCUGAUGCAGCGACGCCGCGUGAGCGAAGAAGUAUUUCGGUAUGUAAAGCUCUAUCAGCAGGGAAGAAAAAAAUGACGGUACCUGACUAAGAAGCCCCGGCUAACUACGUG
rnacentral:rRNA from 1 species